rnacentral:tRNA from 1 species
AGGGUCAUAGCUCAGUCGGUUAGAGUGCUGUGUUGAUAACGCAGUGGUUAUGGGUUCGAAUCCCAUUGGCCCUA